rnacentral:rRNA from 1 species
UACGAAGGGGGGCUAGCGUUGUUCGGAAUUACUGGGCGUAAAGGGCGCGUAGGCGGUGUGUCAAGUCAGGCGUGAAAGCCCCGGGCUCAACCUGGGAACAGCGCUUGAGACUGGCACGCUCGAGUUCGGGAGAGGAUGGUGGAAUUCCCAGUGUAGCGGUGAAAUGCGCAGAUAGUCGGGAAGAACACCCGUGGCUAAGGCGGCUCUCUAGUACGGUACUGACGCUGAGACGCGAAAGCGUGGGGAGCGAACAGG